UAAAAUCAAAUUUUUCAAAUUUUGGUAAUCAAUGAUCUUCCUUGGAAGCUUAUGUCAAUUUGUAUUAAGCUUGACGCCUUAUCAACAUCAAGAUCAUGGCAUCAAGAAAACAUGGACGAUGUGGACCCUGUAAACAGGAUAAAGUAAGCACUAAAGCUGACAUAUGGUUUUACAACUGUGAUGAAGGAUUAUGUUCAACAUGUUCCGGUCAUCAUAAAAGAUUUAAAUCUACAGUUGAUCACAAAACCAUCGAUAUUUAAACUUCUAAAAUAUAUAUACAUCCCAUACGCUCUAUUAAAGCAUAAUGUGACGCACAUGGUGAAAGUUAGACUUGUACUGUCUUAGUCAUUUAAUGCCUUGCUGUGAUGAAUGUAUUGCAAGUCAUCAUUCAAAAUGUACCGGGAUCAAAAGCUUAACAAGAGUAGUGGACGAAACAAAUAUAGAAAAUUCAAAUGAAUCUGUAGAGAAAUAAAUAACCUCCAUCUUACAUUUCUUAAAUAAAAUGGCUAAUGAUAAAUCAAGAAAUAUAAAAAAAGAGGAACACCAAUAUGAAAGCAUUAAACAAUCUAUCAGUAAAAUUCGGAGGGAAAUAAAUCAACAUUUAGAGCAACUAGAGAAGUAGCUAUGCAAAGAAGCUGAUACCACAUGGGAUCGGGAGAAAUCAAAACUAAAAGGCUUUAUAUCUGAAAUUGAAGGAAAAAAGAAAAAGGUAUAAAAUCAGAAAAUUUGCACGCAGGCACAAUACGUACGUCUUAACUACAAACAUUUUGAUGGAUACAUAUUAUUGAACAAAAAGUACAUCAAUAUCGCCAAUAUGUUGAAGAUGUGGAAAGCAAUGAAAGGGGGACGAAAGAUACCAGAGGGACAGUCAAACUCAUAGAUCGAAAACAAACUGACAACGCCAUGGCCAAAAAUAAAAAGACAAACAGACAAAUAAUAGUACAGAUGACACAACAUAGAAAACCAAAGACUAAGCAACACGAACCCCACCAAAAACUGGGGGUGAUCUCAGGUGCUCCGGAAGGGUAAGCAGAUCCUACUCCACAUGUGGCACCUGUCGUGUUGCUUAUGUUAUUACAAAUCUGGAAAAUAGUCUAAUUCGGUAAGUCACAUUCGUGAAAAGGGAGGGUAUUGUAGUUACGACAUAAGGAACAUAUCCGAUAUCAUCUGUGAAACGGUUAUUCCAUAACGGUCAACCAACUCGUGAUGGCGUCCGUAAAAUUAACGAAGGGAUGACUUCAACUUCACCAUUUGGAACUCUUGAGGAGGCUAAUCAAGUUCACGUCCAAAUUAGGCAAAAUGGUGAGACAGAAAAGAUCCUUAGCGAAUUAAAAUCAUUUAAAACCUUUGGGGAUGUAAAAGUUGUUAAAUCUGAUAGAACCAAGAUAAGAGUAACAAGUUGGAACAGGAAAGCACAAGUAGAAUCACGAAAACAAUCUAACAUACACAACAUGACAACGAAUAUCGCGAACAAGACAAAGAUGAACCUUUAGAAGUACAUUAGUGACAUGAUUUGUCUGACAAAUGAAAGAGUUAUAGUAGUUGAAAAAAAAGGUAAACUCAACCUACUUACCUCUGAUGGCAGAAGCAGUUACCUAUAUCUGAUAAGCCUUUCAGUGUCACACAGGUCGAUCAGGAUACUAUUGCCAUAACUUUUCCCGAUAGGAAAGAUAUUAAGAUCUUCAAUAUGUAAACAGAAACUGUAACCAAACUUAUCACAUUAGGCAAAGCAUGCAUGGGAUUAUCAUUCUGCAAUAAUUAUCUUGCUGUUGGUUUGAAUAAAGAUGAAAUCCGCAUUAUAAACUUGGAAGGAAAUAAACUCAAUUCAAUACAAGUUAAGAGUAUAUCAUACCUAGAGUACUUUGUGUACUGUCAUGACAGAGUUAUCUUUACUGACUAUGAUGAUAAAGCAGUAUACUGUUUUGAUGAAUCAGGCGGACAUAUCUGGAAAUAUACAUAAGAUUUAUUAGGACCGCAAGGACUUUGUACAGAUACAUAUGACAACAUUAUUGUAGCAGACUGGAGAUCUCAAAUAAUAAUAGUAAUAUCAAAAGAUGAACAGGAUAGUAAAGUAUUAUUCAGUAAAGAGGAUGGACUUAAUAAUCAAAAAUGUAUUUGGUAUUUACAUAAUGAACCGAACGGUUUCAUUUCUGACAGUAUUGGCAGAUACUUGGCAAAAAUCAAAUGUUCUAAUGGAAUGAAUAUAAACACUGAUCAAUCUUGCUAUUACUAAUAAGAAUACAAAAUCUCCUAAAUUAAAA